CGAUGCGCCGCGGGCGAGUCGCGGUGCCGGGUCACGCCGCCCGUGUCUGCUGCUUGACACCUCCUGGUGCGGACUGCUGCUUCAUUAUAAUCGACGCCGCUCCGAACUUCAUUUGUUUAUCCUUUAAUUUCACGCCCGCGCCGUGUGAUGUGUAGUCAUGGUGAUCGCCGCGGCGCGCGCUUAUCUCCUCCGUGUCGUUGGAGAGCGGCGGCUCGGGCGACUUCCACACGCACACGUAGUACACCGAUAGCAGGAUGGCAGCCAGCGACACCGACAGCAGGUACGCCAGCACUGUCAGCACGCGCACCACUUUGCUCACUGACUUCUGUUCAUAAAUCUCCCGGAUUGGAGCGCCCAUCUCCUCCGAAACGCUCUCCUCCUCUGUCUGACCGCAAACAGACAUCUUGCUAACUCUCAGCUACAUGUUUAUUUCAUUAUUCCCCCAGGAGUUACUAGACUAGACCACUUUUUAGUUUAAAAAAAUAAAUAGAAUGAUAGAUAAUUGCAGCGUAUGGCGCGUGUGGUAUUCGCGGAUGAGUAGCGCGAGUGUGGCGAGCGGGUGGCCACGUCUCGCGAUCCGCGCGCCCGCGAUGGAGCCGAUCAACUGUACCGAGCCGCGAAGUCGACGAGCUCCACGGGCUCGAGACGGAGCCCCGGCUUGAGCACGACGAAGGCGGUGGGCAGCUCGCCGGCGGCCUCGUGCGGCGCGCCCACCACGCCGCACUCCGCCACGCCCGGGUGCUGCAGCAACACGCUCUCCACUUCGGCGGGAGGCACCUAUUACACAGUCAACCAGUCUCAUUAGCAAAAAGGUUUUUUGCGGGGAAGAGAGAAGAAUGGCUUUUUCUUCGCCUGCGCUUUGGAAAUGGACGUUACCGUUUGCUCGCGGCGCUGAUAGUCUCCGUGCUCAACGGAGCCGCCCCGCACAUCACCACAUACACUGAAGACAAGUCGUACUUCUCCACCAGUGGGGACUUGGCGAGGAACACCACGAUUGGAGGAACGGCCAG